CAGCAGCCACGGUAAUGCGUAGGUGGCAAGCGUUGUCCGGAAUUAUUGGGCGUAAAGGGCUCGCAGGCGGUUUCUUAAGUCUGAUGUGAAAGCCCCCGGCUCAACCGGGGAGGGUCAUUGGAAACUGGGAAACUUGAGUGCAAAAGAGGAGAGUGGAAUUCCACGUGUAGCGGUGAAAUGCGUAGAGAUGUGGAGGAACACCAGUGGCGAAGGCGACUCUCUGGUCUGUAACUGACGCUGAGGAGCGAAAGCGUGGGGAGCGAACAGGAUUAGAUACCCCGGUAGUCCCUGUCUCUUAUAC
rnacentral:rRNA from 1 species